UCUACGUCCAGGAACCUUACUGCUGCUUCCCUGAUAUAAUAUAUGCAAGUAGAUUAUACUACUUUCAGAUCCGCCAAAGGAUGUAAAAUCGAAAGAAAAGACAAAAAGUAGA
rnacentral:sRNA from 1 species